UACGUAGGGGGCUAGCGUUGUUCGGAAUCACUGGGCGUAAAGCGCACGCAGGCGGAUUGAUAAGUCAGGGGUGAAAUCCCGGAGCUCAACUUCGGAAUUGCCUUUGAUACUGUCUGUCUUGAGUCCGGGAGAGGUGAGUGGAAUUCCUAGUGUAGAGGUGAAAUUCGUAGAUAUUAGGAAGAACACCAGUGGCGAAGGCGGCUCACUGGUCCGGUACUGACGCUGAGGUGCGAAAGCGUGGGGAGCAAAGCAGG
rnacentral:rRNA from 1 species